rnacentral:sRNA from 1 species
GUUUUCCAACAGUGUUCGAAAGGCAUCACAACAAGAGAAUUUCUAUUUCUGUGGCUGACGUAAAUUUUCCUUACCCAAAAAACGCAAACAACUCCCUCUGUGAAAAAGGAAUAGCAAGCACAUAGCAGUCAAUAAAUAACUUGCAUUCACAUUUUUCGUAAAAUUGGCGACAAGCUAUCGUAGUGAUUAGACAAGAACAACAAGGCACACUAUAGUAGGUUGUGACUGUUCUACUUUCGUUGUAAGCCGUUUGUACGCCGUGUGCUAGAACAAGACAAACAGUAUUUGUUGCGGAAUUCAGCACAAAAGCCGGCUAGUGGCAGAAAAGAACAAACGCAAUUAAAUCAUCGACGAACGAUAGAGCAAAAGUAGUGCUUGUGCCGCCGAUCAGAGGAGAGCUCCAGCGAACGGAAGAAAACGUGGUUUUGCCGCAAAAAGAAGAAAACACGAAACAGAAAAAACUGGAAACAGUGUGUAAAAAGAAAAAAAUAAGAAGAAACUGAAAGAAAAGUAAAGAAGCGGGUUUUUUCUAUUUGAAGUCGUAUAAGGAAUACAGAAAUACCGUUAAGAGAAGAACAAUUGCGUUUUAGUACGUGAAAAGUAAUUAGCAAAGGAAAACAGAGUUACUAAUUCUUGCAAACGGGAAAAGAUGGAAACU